UUGGCGCGUGUUGACAUAUGCCCGAAACAAUCAACAGAAAUAGAUUUUAUUUUUUUCUCGCUUUCUCGCCGCCUCUUACUUUGUCGCCUCUUUAUCUUGCAUCUCUCAUUUCGGUUAAGUUGGCUUGUGUUCUGAAAUUCUGUGAAUAAAUAAUCAUUUCUAAGUAAUAACAAAUAAUAAUGGAGAUGUGAAAAAAAAUAGAAUAGCCAACACAAAAAAGGUGAAUGGAAAGAAAGGAUGUAAUGAAGAAUGCAAAGGGUAGGGUGAAGAAAAUAGCCCUGAAAUUUAAAUGAAAUAUAGAUUGUGUUUAGUGAGAGUACCACCCAGUGCUGCUGUAUAAUUAAGAAAAAAUUUAUUCGUUUAUGGUUUCAUGUCUUUCCGAAACAAAUACAACCUACAAAGUUAACAAUAAAAUUCAAAUUUAUAUCAAAACCGAAAGAAGGAAAGAAAAAGACGAAUAAAAAAUCUUUGCUGUGGCCAUAUAUCAAAUGGAAAACUUGCGAAACGAUAAGAAAUUGAAUGAAAUCUAAGAAUUUAAUUUAAAAAAUAAAAUAAAAAUGUUUACAUUUGUGUACUUUGGUUUCCAUAAAUGUUAGAAAAAAAACCUCAUUGUUUGUUACCUUAAAUGUUUAAGUGUCAUAAUUGUUAAAAGUAAAUGAAAAAAUAUAUAAAAAUAUAAUAACAACAACAAAGAAGACAUGUAUUUUAGUCAAUAGCUGUAGAAUCUAGUGUAAAAUAUUAGUGAAUCCCUUUAAUAACAAAUAUUUAAAGAACACCCAAAGUGAUGCCAAAUUUACAUAGGAAAUUAUAAUUUCACAAAAAAUUAAAAAAAAAAUAAAUAAAAAUAAAAUAAAAGAAGAGAAGAGUGUGGAAGAAAAAAAUAACAUUUCAUGUGACCAAAAAAUUUCCACGGAAUAUUCCAAGUAACAUUUUGUUUUCAUUUUUUCAAAACAACCAUAAAAAAGCCAAAACAACGAACCCUUUAAACCUCAUCUUUAACAGAGUAUACCUUUAAAAACAACAACAAUUUGCUAGUCUCUCAAAUUGUGUUUUCCUAUGCCUCCAUUAAAAACCCCAAGGAAAUAAAUUUACAUUCAUUGCUGCCUUGUUUUACCCCCCAAGGAAAUUUAAAAUAAAUUCAAAUUAACAAUCAAAAAAAAAAAAAAAAAAAAAAAAAAGAAAGAAGAGAAGAAAAAACCUGAAGAUACCAGCCCUUAAUUAAACAAACAGCGAGGUAGAGGCUCCCCACAUACAUACAUAAAUAUUCAUAAGUCUGAGUGUAUACAUACAUAAAUGUUGGUUUUGUUUUAUAGAGGUUUCCCUGCAAAUUAGCAUUAGAAUAAAUAUUUAAAAACGAAUUUACAAACAAAACAAAACAACCAAUCAAAUAGAUUUAUUAUUUGAUGGAAUUAAAUGAAAUAUUCAAAGGAAUUUUAAUUUAAUUUGAACCACAAAAAACACCACUUGAGGAGAAACCAAAUUCAAAUCCUUGUUUUUCAAAAUCACAACUCCAUAUCCUCCCUCUCUUUAAAAAACAAAAACAACAACAAAAAAUCAAAACAAAUAAAAAUAGAAUUAAUUAUAAAUGUUUACAUAAAAUGUGUCUUAGUGUGUGUGUCUGUAUAACUGUUCCCCUGAGUGUGUGAGUGUGUGUAUAUGUCUAUCUGUAUUCCUGUUUCUUUGAAUAUGACAACUUAAGUCUUAAUUAAACAUCGUCAUCAUCAUCAGCGCCAACAACCACCAGAACAACAACAGCAACAACUACAAAAUAAAAUUAAUGAAUUAUUUACUCAAUUAACCAAAACAACCUAAGGAUAUUUGCCCUAAAAAGCGAAAUCAUCAUUUAUUGGAUAUUGCUCUUUUCCAUCGUCACCACCAUUAACCUCACCACUGGCGUCAGAAUAUCGCCCAUCUAAAAACACACAGAGAAGAGCUACAUCAGUGAAACGGAUUAACCCUCAUCAUCACCGGCAACGGCUGCAAAUGCUUUUGAUCUGAAAAUACAAAAAAAGAGAAAAACAUAUUUUUUAUGAAACAAAGACACCAAAUAUUGACUCCAUUGAAAUAUAUAUUUUUUAUAAAAAUAACAACAAUAAUAAUCCCAAUCUAUUUUACAACUACAACCAAAUAACAACAACAACAAGCAACCAACUUCCAAGUCAACUUAGCACAAUAAAACAUAUCCUAAAUGGUUUUAAUUUUUUUCUAACUGAAACAAAAACAACAGCCCAAUAAACAAAAAAUAUAUAUCAAUCACUACCUACAACAAACAACCCAGAUAAAAAAAUCUUAUGAAUUAAAAAAAAAAAAAAAAAAAUAGAAGUGUUACCGCAAUACAAAAAGAAACCCCUUUUUGGAAACUCUAACAAAAAUUAGGAAUCUCAACUAUUUUUAUACCCCAAAUAAAGACUUUUGAAAAAGCAACCAUUCCCCCAAUUAAAUCAAAGAGGAAACUAUUUUUUUCUAACAACUUUACAACAACGAGGAGGCCAAAGUGAAAAUUCUCUCAAAAUGUCUGUCGACUUGAGUGUUCACCAGGAGCCGACGGUGUCGGUGAUAACAACAGUACCAGUCUCAGCCAAUGGCGGCGAAAUGGAUGCCCUACUCUUGGGACGCAUUGGGGUAAGUGUCGC